rnacentral:lncRNA from 1 species
CAGCAGCUAACCAACGGAAAUCAAAGUCACUCAGAAAACAAUGAGUUCGGUUUAAAGUUUGAAUACACAUAAAACAAUCUUGAAUUAUCCGACAGCAGUCUACUGAAUGAUCAAUGUGGAGUAAAGCUCGAGUUGUGGAGCUAAGACUUUAGUUUAAAUAAACAAGAUGGCCAUCAUGAUUUUAGUGAGUAUUGUCAUUUUAUUUUACUUGCAAACUGUGAUUCUUCUGUAGAUAUAAAUUUGUUAAUUUUUGUGAAUGCUUAAUUUGUAUACCUCGAGUCAUGCUGAUGAUUUCUAAAAAGAAUGAAACGGUGCUAUACAUGAUUACAAAUGACGAAAUAUUGUAAUUAGUUUGUUAUAAGUAAGGAAAACAAACAUAUUCUAUGCCUCUUUCCAUUUAUUCUUUUAAUUUGAAGUUCAAACUUCUAAUUCCGCCAAAUAUUAUGAAAUAUUUAUCUCCCUUGUAGUUACUGUCCGCUAUGGGACUCCACGUUUUAGACAUACACACACACACACACACACACACACACAAACAUAAACAUAUACAUGUAUAUACAUGUAUAUAUAUAUAUAUAUGUUUAUAUAUAUAUAUAUAUAUAUAUAUAUAUACAUAGUGUAGUAAAGCUUCAAGUGGAACAGCACCCGAUGUACUAAGAUAGUGAAGAUUAUGUAAUAAUGAAAAUCCCAAUACUUGUAGAUUUCAUUAUAACAUUAUACAUAUAUAUAUAUAUAGUACAUAUAUAGUAUAUAUAUAUACUGUAUAUAUAGUAUAUAUAUAUAUACUGUAUAUAUAUGUGUGUGUAUGUAUGUCUAUAUAUGUAUGUAUAUAUAUGUAUAUAUAUAUAUGUGUGUGUGUGUGUUAUGUGUAUGUACAGAUGUAUAUAUAUUGCAUAUAUGCAUACAUCCACGUAUACGCACCCAUCCAUACACGCACGCACACACACACACAUUAAGAAGAUUCAGUACUAUUUGAACAGUUAUGUGAGAAUUCUUCAUUUAAUAAAGUAAUUGGUUACGAUAACAAUAGAUUCGCUUUUAAAAUGGACGUUGCAAAACAUAGUUUAUAUAAAUAACCAAACUGAAAGCGUUUUAACUAAUUCUAUUUUCUAUAAUUGGAGAUUCUAUUUUAGACAAUCUCCAAAGAAUUUCCAUUGAUGGUAACCAAACUAUAUAUAUACGUUUCUUCAGCGUUCACCACUUCACAUCGUUAUGGCUCAAAAGCCCUCACCGUUUGUUCUUACUGUUAUGUUUUUGUUACCACUUUAAUCCUCCACAAAAAAAAAUCCCAAAUUUUAUUUAAUUUGAUUUGCGGGAAGAACUGUUUUAAAGAAGUCGCCUCCUGCCCCUACCUUCGAAAUGCAGAGUAGAUAAAGCAGGGGCCAACUGUUGCCUGUCUCGUUUCCCUAUUUGUUUCUUUCGUUGUUCGAAAAAAAAAAAAUCGUUUUCCAUGUUUUUGUUAUUUAUGUUCACAUUUCUCAUUUUGUCCACGUUUUUUGACGUCCUGUACCCACAUAUGCACGUGUAUGUAUAUAUAUAUAUACAUAUAUAUGGAGGCAUGUACAUAUAUGCGUGCAUAUGAUAUACAUAUAUGUUAUAUAUAUAUAUAUACAUAUAUAUGGAGGCAUGUACAUAUAUGCGUGCAUAUGAUAUACAUAUAUGUUAUAUAUAUAUAUAUAUAUAUAUAUAUAUAUAUAUUUAUAUUAUAUACACACACAUAUAUGUGCGCACAUACGUACAUAGAUGUACACACACAUGCAUGUAUUUGUACUCUUAAAGUUAAAUAUUGAUUAAGUAUUCUACUUGGCGGGCGUCAUUUCAUCAUGAUGUAACAAAAAAAUAUAUAUCUAGGCGCCGGAGUGGCCGUGUGGUAAGCAGCCUGCUUACCAACCACAUGGUUCUGGGUUCAAUCCCACUGCGUGACACCUUCUACUAUAGCCUCGGGUCGACCAAAGCUUUAUAAGUGGAUUUGGUAGACGGAAACUGAAAGAAGCCCGUCGUAUAUAUGCAUAAGUAUGUAUAUGUUUGUGCGUCUGUGUUGUCCUCCCCCGCCCUAGGAUCGCUUGACAAUCGAUGCUGGUGUGUUUACAUGCCCAUCACUUAGCGGUUCGACAAUUGAGACCGAUAUAAUAAGUACUAGGCUUAUAAAGAAUAAGUUCUGGGGUCGAUUUUCUCGACUAAAGGCGGUGCUCCAGCAUGGUCGCAGUCAAAUCAAUGAAACAAAUAAAAGAAGAAAAGAAUAAAAGAAUAUUUUGUUUUAAUAUUAAUCCUUUAAAAUAGACACCAAAUAUGACAGUCACAGGCAUAAGACAAAAUACAUUCUAAGACAAUGUGAUAAUAGUACAUAUUUAUGGAGAGCUUCUAGCAGUGUAGCAAGGAGUAACUCCGAUUCUUCAGUCUUCGUAUCAACCCUUGAAAAAUUUUGUGACGAGCGAAAUUUCCAACAAACCACAUGCUAUUUCGUUCGAAAGCAGAAGAGCCUUUUAGUGUGGUCUUGAAAGUU